GGCGGCGUGCUUACACAUGCAAGUCGAACGAUGAAGCCUUCGGGUGGAUUAGUGGCGAACGGGUGAGUAACACGUGGGCAAUCUGCCCUGCACUCUGGGACAAGCCCUGGAAACGGGGUCUAAUACCGGAUAACACUGUNCCCCUCCUGGGGGACGGUUGAAAGCUCCGGCGGUGCAGGAUGAGCCCGCGGCCUAUCAGCUUGUUGGUGGGGUAAUGGCCUACCAAGGCGACGACGGGUAGCCGGCCUGAGAGGGCGACCGGCCACACUGGGACUGAGACACGGCCCAGACUCCUACGGGAGGCAGCAGUGGGGAAUAUUGCACAAUGGGCGAAAGCCUGAUGCAGCGACGCCGCGUGAGGGAUGACGGCCUUCGGGUUGUAAACCUCUUUCAGCAGGGAAGAAGCGAAAGUGACGGUACCUGCAGAAGAAGCGCCGGCUAACUACGUGCCAGCAGCCGCGGUAAUACGUAGGGCGCAAGCGUUGUCCGGAAUUAUUGGGCGUAAAGAGCUCGUAGGCGGUCUGUCACGUCGGGUGUGAAAGCCCGGGGCUUAACCCCGGGUCUGCAUUCGAUACGGGCAGACUAGAGUGUGGUAGGGGAGAUCGGAAUUCCUGGUGUAGCGGUGAAAUGCGCAGAUAUCAGGAGGAACACCGGUGGCGAAGGCGGAUCUCUGGGCCAUUACUGACGCUGAGGAGCGAAAGCGUGGGGAGCGAACAGGAUUAGAUACCCUGGUAGUCCACGCCGUAAACGUUGGGAACUAGGUGUUGGCGACAUUCCACGUCGUCGGUGC
rnacentral:rRNA from 1 species